rnacentral:rRNA from 1 species
UACGGAAGGCAGCAGUGGGGAAUAUUGCACAAUGGGCGAAAGCCUGAUGCAGCUAUGCCGCGUGUAUGAAGAAGGCCUUAGGGUUGUAAAGUACUUUCAUCGGGGAGGAAAAAACAAAACUAAUAAUUUUAUUUCUUGACGUUACCCGAAAAAGAAGCACCGGCUAACUCCGUGCCAGCAGCCGCGGUAAUACGGAGGGUGCUAGCGUUAAUCAGAAUUACUGGGCGUAAAGAGCACGUAGGUGGUUUUUUUAAAGUCAGAUGUGAAAUCCCUGGGCUUAACCUAGGAACUGCAUUUUGAAACUGAAAUACUAGAGUAUCGUAGAGGGAGGUAGAACUCUAGGUGUAGCGGUGAAAUGCGUAGAUAUCUGGAGGAAUACCUGUGGCGAAAGCGGCCUCCUAAACGAAUACUGACACUGAGGGUGCGAAAGCGUGGGGAGCAAACAGGGAUUAGAUACC